CUAUUUGCCUUCUGAUAUGAGUUUGUGUUGUCUCUCAGUCAACGAUGAUAAGAACUGAGAUUCCUACCUGGAUAUUCUGCAACAUGUUUGCUGAAGGCAGAGGCUCCACUUUGGUUGGUUGAUUUUUCCUGGCAUACAAUAGUAGCCAAUUGGAAGAACUGAAGUUCACAUUCAAAAACUCUUCUGGAAUGAACUUUGCAAAACCUAUCUACUUUGGAUUUUAGUGGCUUGGGGUUUUUUUUGUUUCAUUACUUACUCAUUUUUAUUGUUCAUAUGUAUGUUGAGACAAGUGAUAUAGAUCCACAUUUCAUAGAAAGUAGGCAAAAAUGAAAAGUUUGAUAAAAAAACCCGAAAAAACCAACAAUGCUGUAGAACCAUUAAUGUUGGAAAAGACUUCUAACAAUAAUGAGUCCAGCCAUUAGCCUUCCAGGGGAGGUUUAGA